rnacentral:rRNA from 1 species
AUUGAACGCUGGCGGCAGGCCUAACACAUGCAAGUCGAGCGAGCGGCGGACGGGUGAGUAAUGUAUGGGGACUGCCCGAUAGAGGGGGAUAACUACUGGAAACGGUGGCUAAUACCGCAUACUAUCGGAUAACCCAGAUGGGAUUAGCUAGUAGGUGGGGUAACGGCUCACCUAGGCGACGAUCCCUAGCUGGUCUGGGAGGAUGAUCAGCCCAACUGGAACUGGGGCACGGUCCAGAAUCCUUCGGAGGCAGCCAUGGGGGAUCUUCGGACAUUGAUGGAAGUCUUGCGGAGCAACGCCGCGGUGGUUAUGACGGCCUUCGGGGUGUAAAGUACGUUAAGCGGGGCGACGGUACCGGAAUAGAAAGCACCGGCUAACUCCGUGCCAGCAGCCGCGGUAAUAC